AACGAACGCUGGCGGCAUGCCUAACACAUGCAAGUCGAACGAGACCUUCGGGUCUAGUGGCGCACGGGUGCGUAACGCGUGGGAACCUGCCCUUAGGUUCGGAAUAACUCCCCGAAAGGGGUGCUAAUACCGGAUAAUGUCUUCGGACCAAAGAUUUAUCGCCUUUGGAUGGGCCCGCGUUGGAUUAGCUAGUUGGUAGGGUAAAAGCCUACCAAGGCGACGAUCCAUAGCUGGUCUGAGAGGAUGAUCAGCCACACUGGGACUGAGACACGGCCCAGACUCCUACGGGAGGCAGCAGUGGGGAAUAUUGGACACUGGGCGAAAGCCUGAUCCAGCAAUGCCGCGUGAGUGAUGAAGGCCUUAGGGUUGUAAAGCUCUUUUACCCGGAUGAUAAUGACAGUACCGGGAGAAUAAGCUCCGGCUAACUCCGUG
rnacentral:rRNA from 1 species